rnacentral:rRNA from 1 species
UACGUAGGCAGCAAGCGUUGUUCGGAAUUACUGGGCGUAAAGAGUGUGUAGGCGGUUUUCUAAGUUUGGUGUGAAAUCUCCCGGCUUAACCGGGAGGGUGCGGCGGAAACUGGAGUGCUUGAGGGUGGGAGAGGUAAGCGGAAUUCCUGGUGUAGCGGUGAAAUGCGUAGAUAUCAGGAGGAACACCUGUGGUGUAGACAGCUUACUGGACCACUUCUGACGCUGAGACACGAAAGCGUGGGUAGCAAACAGG